CUCAAUGAAAAUUUAAUAGCCGCAAUAUAUUUGUGCUAAGGUAGCAUAAUCAUUUGUCUUUUAAUUAAAGACUAGAACAAAAGAUUCAAUAUUUCAAUUUCUUUCUAAAACAUAUUCUAUAAAUUAUUUUAAAUAUAAAAAAAUAUUUAUAAUUAAAAAAGACGAUAAGACCCUAUUGAACUUUACUAAAGUUAAACUGGGGUAGUUAAUUAAACAUUAUUUUAAUUUAAAAUCCAAAAUAAUCUAAUAAAAUUAAAUAAAUCAAGUUACCAUAGGGAUAACAGCGUAAUAAUUUUCUAAAGAUCUUAUUCAAAAAUUUGUUUGCGACCUCGAUGUUGAAUUAAUAAUCUAUUAAAUGCAAUAAUUUAAUAAGAAAGUC
rnacentral:rRNA from 1 species